UUUUUAUGGAGAGUUUGAUCCUGGCUCAGGACGAACGCUGGCGGCGUGCUUAACACAUGCAAGUCGAACGGAAAGGCCUCUUCGGAGGUACUCGAGUGGCGAACGGGUGAGUAACACGUGGGUGAUCUGCCCUGCACUCUGGGAUAAGCCUGGGAAACUGGGUCUAAUACCGGAUAGGACCAUG
rnacentral:rRNA from 1 species